ACGACUUUGCUGUCUGACACAAAACGGACCAUCGCAGCCCGGCAGACGCUUUAGACAACAAACAGCAUGCCUGGAGCUUUUCAAUAGGAAGCAGUAAGGCUUGAUCAUCACAGACGAUACGGAACGGGCACUUUCUUAGCAGAAAAUAUUUCUAUUGGGGCGUGAAGGAAGUUUCUGAAAGGGAAGAUUAUUAUAAGAUAAGGGGUUUGCUCAUCUCAGACUUUAGUGUGCCUGCUUUAAAGUGUUUUGCAAACUUGAAUGUUUAAAGGAAUCACCUGGCGGUCUUGUGAAACUGCAGCUUCUAAUGGGCAAGUCAGAGGGGAAGCCUGAGACAUGGCAUUUCCAGCACGUUCGGGGAGUGAAGAUGCUGUCGGCUGCCACCCUCCCUGCAAGGAGCCAGGGGAUAGAUGACCUCUACGCAAACUGUGAGAGCUUAAAAUAACUGAUAGUGAAAAACAGUUACAGAAGCUCUAGGCCGGGCACGGUGGCUAAUGCCUGUAAUCCCAGCACUUUGGGAGGCCGAGGAGGAUGGAUUGCCAGAACUCAGGAGUUUGAGACCAGCCUGGGCAACACGGUAAAACCCUGUCUCUACGACAAAAUAAAACAAACAAAAAUAAAAGCCACGCAUGGUGGCGUGUGCUUGUAGUCCCAGCUACUCAGGAGGCUCAGGUGGGACAAUCGCUUGAGCAUGGAAGGAGGAGGUUGCAGUGAGCCAAGAUCGCACCACUGUACUCCAACCUGAGUGACAGAGUGAGACCCAAUCUCAAAAAAAAAAAAAAGCAGUAAAUCCAGGGCCCAAAAGCUCCCCUCAAUGGGAAGUAGAAUCUCUUUCUCCACCUCUUCAAUAUGGCUGGCCCUGGAACUUCCCUUGGCACACAGAAUGCAGCAGAAUUGGCUUCAUGUUGUUUCUAAGCCUUGGCCUCAGAGGCCUUGCAUGCUUCCUAACCCUGGCUCUAGGAAACUUGCUGCUGUCAUGUAAGCAAGCCCAGGCUAACCUACUGAAUGUUGGUGUGUCCCAGUCAAAUCCAGCACUGCAACCAAUAGCCAGGCAGCCACCAGACAUGUGAGUGGGGCCACCUCACACCAGCCAACCUCCACCAAGUCAUCAGAUGUAUGAGUGAGAACAGCCCAGAACAACUGAGCCCGUCCAGACCAGCGGAACAACCAAGCUGACCAGUAGACUUAGGAGCAGUAAACAGAUGAUUGUUAUGGAAGCCAUUCUGUUUAGGGUGUGUGUGUUAUUGCUUGCAUCCAAAUACAUCCUAUCUCAUCUAAUGAGAAAA